AAUUCGAUUAGAGUUUGAUCAUGGCUCAGGAUGAACGCUGGCGGCGUGCUUAACACAUGCAAGUCGAACGAACCUUCGGGUUAGUGGCGGACGGGUGAGUAACGCGUGGGAAUCUGCCCUCAGGAGGGGGAUAACGGCUGGAAACGGCCGCUAAUACCCCAUAUGCCGAGAGGUGAAAUGAAUUUCGCCUGAGGAUGAGCCCGCGUCUGAUUAGCUUGUUGGUGAGGUAAUGGCUCACCAAGGCUUCGAUCAGUAGCUGGUCUGAGAGGAUGAUCAGCCACACUGGGACUGAGACACGGCCCAGACUCCUACGGGAGGCAGCAGUGGGGAAUUUUCCGCAAUGGGCGAAAGCCUGACGGAGCAACGCCGCGUGAGGGAUGAAGGCCUCUGGGCUGUAAACCUCUUUUCUCAAGGAAGAAGAUCUGACGGUACUUGAGGAAUAAGCCACGGCUAAUUCCGUGCCAGCAGCCGCGGUAAUACGGGAGUGGCAAGCGUUAUCCGGAAUUAUUGGGCGUAAAGCGUCCGCAGGCGGCCCUUCAAGUCUGCUGUUAAAGCGUGGAGCUUAACUCCAUCAUGGCAGUGGAAACUGUUGGGCUUGAGUGUGGUAGGGGCAGAGGGAAUUCCCGGUGUAGCGGUGAAAUGCGUAGAUAUCGGGAAGAACACCAGUGGCGAAGGCGCUCUGCUGGGCCAUCACUGACGCUCAUGGACGAAAGCCAGGGGAGCGAAAGGGAUUAGAUACCCCUGUAGUCCUGGCCGUAAACGAUGAACACUAGGUGUCGGGGGAAUCGACCCCCUCGGUGUCGUAGCCAACGCGUUAAGUGUUCCGCCUGGGGAGUACGCACGCAAGUGUGAAACUCAAAGGAAUUGACGGGGGCCCGCACAAGCGGUGGAGUAUGUGGUUUAAUUCGAUGCAACGCGAAGAACCUUACCAGGGUUUGACAUCCUGCGAACCUCUUGGAAACAGGAGGGUGCCUUCGGGAACGCAGUGACAGGUGGUGCAUGGCUGUCGUCAGCUCGUGUCGUGAGAUGUUGGGUUAAGUCCCGCAACGAGCGCAACCCACGUCUUUAGUUGCCAGCAUUUAGUUGGGCACUCUAGAGAGACCGCCGGUGAUAAACCGGAGGAAGGUGUGGAUGACGUCAAGUCAUCAUGCCCCUUACACCCUGGGCUACACACGUACUACAAUGCUACGGACAAAGGGCAGCAAACUCGCGAGAGCUAGCAAAUCCCAUAAACCGUGGCUCAGUUCAGAUCGUAGGCUGCAACUCGCCUACGUGAAGUAGGAAUCGCUAGUAAUCGCAGGUCAGCAUACUGCGGUGAAUACGUUCCCGGGCCUUGUACACACCGCCCGU
rnacentral:rRNA from 1 species